rnacentral:rRNA from 1 species
AUCUGCGAUAAGCGCCGGUAAGGUGAUAUGAACCGUUAUAACCGGCGAUACCCGAAUGGGGAAACCCAGUGUGAUUCGUCACACUAUCAUUAACUGAAUCCAUAGGUUAAUGAGGCGAACCGGGGGAACUGAAACAUCUAAGUACCCCGAGGAAAAGAAAUCAACCGAGAUUCCCCCAGUAGCGGCGAGCGAACGGGGAGGAGCCCAGAGCCUGAAUCAGCAUGUGUGUUAGUGGAAGCGUCUGGAAAGGCGCGCGAUACAGGGUGACAGCCCCGUACACAAAAGCGCAUGUGCUGUGAGCUCGAUGAGUAGGGCGGGACACGUGGUAUCCUGUCUGAAUAUGGGGGGACCAUCCUCCAAGGCUAAAUACUCCUGACUGACCGAUAGUGAACCAGUACCGUGAGGGAAAGGCGAAAAGAACCCCGGCGAGGGGAGUGAAAAAGAACCUGAAACCGUGUACGUACAAGCAGUGGGAGCACCCUUCGGGGUGUGACUGCGUACCUUUUGUAUAAUGGGUCAGCGACUUAUAUUCUGUAGCAAGGUUAACCGUAUAGGGGAGCCG